AUUGAACGCUGGCGGCAGGCCUAACACAUGCAAGUCGAGCGGAUGACGGGAGCUUGCUCCUCGAUUCAGCGGCGGACGGGUGAGUAAUGCCUAGGAAUCUGCCUGGUAGUGGGGGACAACGUUUCGAAAGGAACGCUAAUACCGCAUACGUCCUACGGGAGAAAGCAGGGGACCUUCGGGCCUGGCGCUAUCAGAUGAGCCUAGGUCGGAUUAGCUAGUUGGGGAGGUAAUGGCUCACCAAGGCGACGAUCCGUAACUGGUCGGAGGGGAUGAUCAGUCACACUGGAACUGGGACACGGUCCAGACUCCUACGGGGGGCAGCAGUGGGGAAUAUUGGACAAUGGGCGAAAGCCUGAUCCAGCCAUGCCGCGUGUGUGAAGAAGGUCUUCGGAUUGUAAAGCACUUUAAGUUGGGAGGAAGGGCAGUAAGCUAAUACCAUGCUGUUUUGACGUUACCGACAGAAUAAGCACCGGCUAACUCUGUGCCAGCAGCCGCCGCAG
rnacentral:rRNA from 1 species